UUAUAUAAUUCACCAUUGGUUUAUGGUCAUUGUCCCAAUUAAUUUCAUAUAUUUGAUAGAGCUUUUUGAAACCUACAAUAUUGUAAUUCACAGUAGCUGAAAAUGGCAUUUUCACAAGUGACAUAUGUCUGCAUCUUCUUUGUCCUAUAUUGGUAAUGUUCAUUGCAUAUUCUAGGGGAUAUUCUUAGAUACUUCUUGUAAAUCACCGUGCAACUGUUAUAAUAUUCCCCCAUUAACUCAAUCAAACUCAUUCCAACCUCAAACAACCAAGAUGUUGCAGGUGAACCAUUCAAUGAAUGCACAUUAUACCAAUUACUAACCAACACAAUUGUGUGGUUAUUAUUUCUGCUCAAGCUCAAGCUCAAGGAACAAUAAGCAUAACUGAGUCAGAAUUAGUAGUAUAAUCAAUAUUCAGUUUUGAGUGAUUUGUUGCAAUCUUGAUAGGAUAAAUUUAAAUAUGUUUUUGGUCCCAAUAAAUAUAAAGUAAAAGAUAUUAUAACUUUAGUCCAUUCAUUCCGAUCUCCCCGCCUCAACGGCUCCAACCCUUUUCAUCGGCCUCCCUCUUUUCCUUGCAUGCAAUGACCAAAUCGAAUUUGCUAGUGAGUUUGACAAAAUUAUUGUGUACAACUUUGGAUUCGACAAACUUUCACUUUGAAACUUCUAACGAAAUCAUUGUACUACCGAUUAUAUCGUCAAACUCACUGUGACUUCAACAAGCGCUUAUUAUUAAGAAUUUAAGACAUGUUGAAAAUGCUUCCAAAUUAUAAAAUUGAAAUUUCAUUUCAACAUGUUCUAAGGAGAUAACAUGGUAGUAUCCAUCUAAAAAACGUGUGACUUAUUCAACAUCAAAACUGUCACUUGCCGAGUAUUUUAACUCUAUAAUUUAAAUCACAUACAACAUAAAUGAGGAAAUAACAUUAUACAACAAAAAGGUCAUAUAUCAAAGAACUUUCUACAGCAAUUUAGUAACAGAACUUUUACAUGUUUAUUAAAAAAUUAAAACUCAAUAGCCAGUGGAAGCAUUUGUAGUAGUAUGUGUAGAGGAUGAAGAUGUAGGUGAAUUUGAAUGAACAGCACCUUCACUGUUAUUACCCCUUUCUUCUGAGAUUGAAUGCUCAAACUUCUUAAACUCUGGUUUUUUAAUUGUAGCAACUUGAGGAUGUGUGGCUACUGGUGCAUAGAUUCCAGAAGGUGCCACAACUUUUGUCAUUUCCCCUGUUGUUGUUGAUGAAGCUACCCCACCAUACUC
rnacentral:lncRNA from 1 species